UACGUAGGCAGCGAGCGUUGUUCGGAAUUACUGGGCGUAAAGAGUGUGUAGGCGGUGUUCCCAGUCUGUUGUGAAAUCUCCCGGCUUAACUGGGAGGGUGCAGCGGAAACUAGAAUGCUAGAGGGUGGGAGAGGUAAGCGGAAUUCCUGGUGUAGCGGUGAAAUGCGUAGAUAUCAGGAGGAACACCUGCGGUGUAGACGGCUUUCUGGACCAUUGCUGACGCUGAGACACGAAAGCGUGGGUAGCAAACAGG
rnacentral:rRNA from 1 species